rnacentral:misc_RNA from 1 species
UACGGAGGGUGCAAGCGUUGUCCGGCUUUAUUGGGCUUAAAGGGUGCGUAGGCGGGGAAUUAAGACAGUGGUGAAAGCCGACAGCUCAACUGUCGAACCGCCAUUGAUACUGGUUAUCUUGAGUAUAGUUGAGGCAGGCGGAAUUUACGAUGUAGCGGUGCAAUGCAUAGAUAUCGUAAAGAACACCGAUAGUGAAGGCAGCUUGCUAAACUAUAACUGACGCUGAGGCACGAAAGCAUGGGGAGCGAACAGG